GGGGCCUUAGCUCAGCUGGGAGAGCGCAACACUGGCAGUGUUGAGGUCAGCGGUUCGAUCCCGCUAGGCUCC
rnacentral:tRNA from 1 species